rnacentral:rRNA from 1 species
AAGCUUGCUUGUUGGGGUUGUAGGACACUCUAUACGGAGUUACAAAGGACGACAUUAGACGAAUCAUCUGGAAAGAUGAAUCAAAGAAGGUAAUAAUCCUGUAGUCGAAAAUGUUGUCUCUCUUGAGUGGAUCCUGAGUACGACGGAGCACGUGAAAUUCCGUCGGAAUCUGGGAGGACCAUCUCCUAAGGCUAAAUACUCUCUAGUGACCGAUAGUGAACCAGUACCGUGAGGGAAAGGUGAAAAGCACCCCGGAAGGAGAGUGAAAUAGAACCUGAAACCGUGUGCUUACAAGUAGUCAGAGCCCGUUAAUGGGUGAUGGCGUGCCUUUUGUAGAAUGAACCGGCGAGUUACGAUUUGAUGCAAGGUUAAGCAGUAAAUGUGGAGCCGUAGCGAAAGCGAGUCUGAAUAGGGCGUUUAGUAUUUGGUCGUAGACCCGAAACCAGGUGAUCUACCCUUGGUCAGGUUGAAGUUCAGGUAACACUGAAUGGAGGACCGAACCGACUUACGUUGAAAAGUGAGCGGAUGAACUGAGGGUAGCGGAGAAAUUCCAAUCGAACCUGGAGAUAGCUGGUUCUCUCCGAAAUAGCUUUAGGGCUAGCCUCAAGUGAUGAUUAUUGGAGGUAGAGCACUGUUUGGACGAGGGGCCCCUCUCGGGUUACCGAAUUCAGACAAACUCCGAAUGCCAAUUAAUUUAACUUGGGAGUCAGAACAUGGGUGAUAAGGUCCGUGUUCGAAAGGGAAACAGCCCAGACCACCAGCUAAGGUCCCAAAAUAUAUGUUAAGUGGAAAAGGAUGUGGCGUUGCCCAGACAACUAGGAUGUUGGCUUAGAAGCAGCCAUCAUUUAAAGAGUGCGUAAUAGCUCACUAGUCGAGUGACACUGCGCCGAAAAUGUACCGGGGCUAAACAUAUUACCGAAGCUGUGGAUUGUCCUUUGGACAAUGGUAGGAGAGCGUUCUAAGGGCGUUGAAGCAUGAUCGUAAGGACAUGUGGAGCGCUUAGAAGUGAGAAUGCCGGUGUGAGUAGCGAAAGACGGGUGAGAAUCCCGUCCACCGAUUGACUAAGGUUUCCAGAGGAAGGCUCGUCCGCUCUGGGUUAGUCGGGUCCUAAGCUGAGGCCGACAGGCGUAGGCGAUGGAUAACAGGUUGAUAUUCCUGUACCACCUAUAAUCGUUUUAAUCGAUGGGGGGACGCAGUAGGAUAGGCGAAGCGUGCG